GACGAACGCUGGCGGCGUGCUUAACACAUGCAAGUCGUACGGUAAGGCCCUUUCGGGGGUACACGAGUGGCGAACGGGUGAGUAACACGUGAGUAACCUGCCCACAACUUUGGGAUAACGCUAGGAAACUGGUGCUAAUACUGGAUAUGUGCUCCUGCUGCAUGGUGGGGGUUGGAAAGCUCCGGCGGUUGUGGAUGGACUCGCGGCCUAUCAGCUUGUUGGUGGGGUAGUGGCCUACCAAGGCGGCGACGGGUAGCCGGCCUGAGAGGGUGACCGGCCACAUUGGGACUGAGAUACGGCCCAGACUCCUACGGGAGGCAGCAGUGGGGAAUAUUGCACAAUGGGCGCAAGCCUGAUGCAGCAACGCCGCGUGCGGGAUGACGGCCUUCGGGUUGUAGACCGCUUUCAGCAGGGACGAAGCUUUUUGUGACGGUACCUGCAGAAGAAGCACCGGCUAACUACGUG
rnacentral:rRNA from 1 species